GAGUUUGAUCCUUGGCUCAGGAUGAACGCUAGCGGCAGGCUUAACACAUGCAAGUCGAGGGGCAGCACGGGUAGCAAUACCCUGGUGGCGCCCGGCGGAAGGGUGCGUAACGCGUGAGCAACAUGCCCUCUACAGGGGAAUAAUCCAGGGAAACUUGGUCUAAUGCCCCAUAGCAAUAAGAUAAGGCAUCUUAUUUUAUUUAAAGCUUCGGUGGUAUAGGAUUGGCUCGCGUGACAUUAGCUUGAUGGUGGGGUAACGGCCCACCAUGGCAAUGAUGUCUAGGGGUUCUGAGAGGAAGGCCCCCCACACUGGGACUGAGACACGGCCCAGACUCCUACGGGAGGCAGCAGUGAGGAAUAUUGGACAAUGGAUGGAAAUCUGAUCCAGCCAUGCCGCGUGCAGGAAGACGGCCCUAUGGGUUGUAAACUGCUUUUCUACGGGAGCAAUAAGGUCUACGAGUAGACUGAUGAGAGUACCGUAGGAAUAAACAUCGGGUAACUCCCGUGCCAACAGCCGCGGUAAUAAAGGAGGAUGCGACCGUUAUCCGGAUUUAUGGGUUUAAAAGGUUGCGUAAGCGGCUUUUAAAUUCACCGGGAAAUUUUGGAGCUUAA
rnacentral:rRNA from 1 species